GAGCUUGGGGAGAAGGACCCUGGCGUUACAGGACUUGCGUUGGGGCUCAAAUGCGGCGGUGGAUAAGGUCAGAGACUUGUUCUUUGAAGCGGAGAAUGACUUGGUGCGGCGGAGCUCGGGGAGGACCCUGACGUCACAGGACUUGCGCUGUGGCUCAAAUGCGGCGGUGGAUAAGCUCAGAGACUUGUUCUUUGAAGCGGAGAAUGACUUGGUGCGGCGGAGCUCGGGGAGGAGGGUGGAGGAAGGCUUGGAAUGCUUAG